rnacentral:ncRNA from 1 species
GAGAGCCGGAUGAAUGGAGACGUUCAAGUCCGGUUCUGAGAGAAACUCGGGGUGAAAUUUCCCCGGGUUUACUUACCCGUAU